UGGGGAAUAUUGCACAAUGGGCGCAAGCCUGAUGCAGCCAUGCCGCGUGUGUGAAGAAGGCCUUCGGGUUGUAAAGCACUUUCAGCGAGGAGGAAGGUGGUGAACUUAAUACGUUCAUCAAUUGACGUUACUCGCAGAAGAAGCACCGGCUAACUCCGUGCCAGCAGCCGCGGUAAUACGGAGGGUGCAAGCGUUAAUCGGAAUUACUGGGCGUAAAGCGCACGCAGGCGGUUUGUUAAGUCAGAUGUGAAAUCCCCGGGCUCAACCUGGGAACUGCAUUUGAAACUGGCAAGCUAGAGUCUCGUAGAGGGGGGCUAGAAUUCCAGGUGUAGCGGUGAAAUGCGUAGAGAUCUGGAGGAAUACCGGUGGCGAAGGCGGCCCCCCUGGACGAAGACUGACGCUCAGGUGCGAAAGCGUGGGGCAGCAAACAGGAUUAGAUACCCUGGUAGUCCACGCUGUAAACGAUGUCGAUUUGGAGGUUGUGCCCUUGAGGCGUGGNUUCCGGAGCUAACG
rnacentral:rRNA from 1 species